rnacentral:lncRNA from 1 species
GUUAAAUCUAGCAAACAACCUGACAGACUGUUCAGUCUUUAAUAAUGUGAGAAUAAACAGAAUAAAUUAAAAGCACACCAUAUUCUUCUCAGCUUCCUCAGGGGCUUUGUCCAAACAGCUUGAACAACUGCAAAAUAAUAUUCAGGAACCAUGAUAGUGUUUGGUACAUAGAGGACACUGGAAAUGGUUUUCUUAACUGAACAAGUGACUAGAAUAAAGGAAUUAAUGAACGACAUCAGAGCUGAAAUCCCAAACCAUAAAUCAUAAAAGGAUCAGACAGCAAAGAGUACUCAAAAGCUGAUUUAUUGAGAUCCUGAUGAGUUUGAAGUAACUAGAAACUUGAUCAAACAGUGACAAGACCCAAGAUUUGUUUUACUCUAAAGUGAGAAAUUAUCCUCAACAAAAAAACAUUUCACAGUGAGAAUCAGAAGAAUAUUUGCAUCAGGCAACUCUGGGUGCUAGAUAUUUAUUUUUUUUCUUUUUCACAUGAACUAUAAAAACUUACCACAAAAGACUGAUCUCCACAACUGCUUAUACUCUAGGAUUAUUAUACAUUGCACUGUUCUUGCUGAUACUCCAAAGACAUGUAGAAAAUAGAAAGGUAAGUUUGCAGGAGGAAAAAAGAACAAUGGAAUGAAGAAGCAAACAGGGAGUUAAAAUAACUCCUUGGAAUAGUAGAAUCAGGAAAGCAAAGGUAAAGCAUUAAAGUCUAAGGGCUGCAUGACUCCUAAGGGGAAAAUGCAUGUAUUUCUUUUAUUUUGCACUGAGAUUAAAUUUGCUGAUUUUUUUUCAUACUGUGUGUUCUUUCGCUCCCAAUCCUCACAUAAAAUAUUUCAGGGUGACCAACUGCUCUUUUGUGUUACAUUUUAAACAGGUAGAUGACUUUCACAUGUAGGCAAAGUUGAUUCUAGGAAUUAUUGUGAGGUAAGAGAAAUGUGUUUGAGACAAGGUGUGGUCUCUUCUUCUUAAGUUUUCCUCUCUGCAUGUUUUUA